GUCUCACUCGGUUAACAAGCAGAUUCCAUGGGCGUCUUUAGUGGCAGCAUAAUUGACAAUCCAAACACAGUGAUGGUCCAUCUUGAGAACAAAUCUUUGACCUGCACAAGGAAACAUGGGUCGAGUAUAAAGCUUUCUUUCUCUAUCACUAGAAAGUGGUCACCAUACAACGGGAAUUUUCACUACUAAACACAACAAAGUAGCAAAUCAGAUUUUGCCUUACAGACAUUACAAUGAUGGUAACGAGGCAAUUACAAGCAAUGGAUUACAGAUUGAAUUCAUUAAAAGACUAAAGUAUGAAUUUUGAGAUAGAAUUUGCCAUAAGAACUCAUGAUUACGGAAUUGAUAGUUCUCGUUCCCAACAAUAAGCGAAUCAACAAGAGAUCUUAGAUCUAAGCAAAUCAACAAGAUUUCAUAAAUUUAUAAACGCAUUAUGAAACUCUUGCUCUUCGAAGAGAAAUCAAAUCAAACGAGAAGAAGGACAAAGGAUGAAGAAGACUAUACAAUGAUCAGAAACUUCGAAUCGUUUAUACAGGACCUCCGAUGACUAAGAGAGCGUUGUCGCCGUCGUCUUCGUCAGAGCGGUGGUGGUUGUUGUUUAUAUCCAUGGCGGAAAAUUGAGGAACUAAGAAAAAAUUUCUCAGUUUCAUCAAUGGCGGAGGAGAAAGGAGAACAAACCGAUAACAAGGACGAGAUACCGGAGACGACGGCCGGUGAGAUCGGCGGAGCGAGCUUCGAUUUGGGAGGAGAGAAUCAAAGGUGUGGAUACGAGAAUGUUUUGUUUUUUUGUUUUUAUUUUCGUUUUAGUUUUUAAGAAAAU
rnacentral:lncRNA from 1 species